rnacentral:rRNA from 1 species
AUACGGAGGGUGCAAGCGUUAUCCGGAAUCAUUGGGUUUAAAGGGUCCGUAGGCGGACUAUUAAGUCAGAGGUGAAAUCCCACAGCUCAACUGUGGAACUGCCUUUGAUACUGGUAGUCUUGAGUUAUAUGGAAGUAGAUAGAAUGUGUAGUGUAGCGGUGAAAUGCAUAGAUAUUACACAGAAUACCGAUUGCGAAGGCAGUCUACUACGUAUAUACUGACGCUAAGGGACGAAAGCGUGGGUAGCAAACAGGAUUAGAAACCCUAGUAGUCC